rnacentral:misc_RNA from 1 species
CAUCAGAUGUUACAUCCUGAAACAGAUCAGGAUGAUCAUGAGAUUGAGGAGGAGUUUGAUGAGGAUGUAUUGGAGGAAGAGGAUGAUGAGGACGAAGAAGAUGGAAGGGUUUUCCUAGAGCUAGAGGGUGGUGGUGUCACCGGAAUGAAUGUUUUUGACCAUAUUGAGGUUUUAAGUGGGAAUGUUCCAAACGACGCACUACGGGUAAUGCCUGUUGAUUUCUUUAGUUCUAGACGUCCAG